CAAAUGAAUUGACGGGGAGCACCACAACGGGUGGAGCUUGCGGUUUAAUUGGAUUCAACGCCGGAAAUCUUACCGGGACCGACAGCAAUAUGAAGGCCAGGCUGAAGACUUUGCCGGAUUAGCUGAGAGGAGGUGCAUGGGCCGUCGUCAGUUCGUACUGUGAAGCAUCCUGUUAAGUCAGGCAACGAGCGAGACCCACGCCAACAGUUGCCAGCUCGUCCUCCGGGAUGGUGGGGACGCUGUUGGGACCGCCUCUGCUAAAGAGGAGGAAGGAAUGGGCAACGGUAGGUCAGCAUGCCCCGAAUUAUCUGGGCUACACGCGGGCUACAAUGGGUGGGACAAUGGGUAUCGACACCGAAAGGUGAAGGCAAUCUCCUAAACCCAUCCGUAGUUCGGAUUGUGGGCUGCAACUCGCCCACAUGAAGCUGGAAUCUGUAGUAAUCGUGUCUCAAAAUGGCACGGUGAAUAUGUCCCUGCUCCUU
rnacentral:rRNA from 1 species